CUUGCUGACUAUCAAGUUAAUGGUGAACGAAUGGCUUUUCUGGGUUACGUGAUAUUGUUUACUACUGUUUUAUUAUCUUUUCGUUGUUGAAACACUGAUUGAGGAAUUACAUGAAAGACAGGAUACGGAUUUCGGGUCAAUAAACAUGUAGAAAGAUAUUAUGAAGCAAGAGAUAGUGGCUGCAUCCGAAAACUGGAAAAUGCUGCCUUCGGAGGAUGCAUUCCAAGCAGCCACUGCGGCAACAAGGACACACAGGGGCACAUCAUAACCAUCGCCUUUCAAGAAAGGAUUCUUUCAUCUCCAUCACAAAAAAAUGAACCAUCAAAGAGCUUGUGCUAUUGUCUUUGCAUUCUUUUCACCAGCUAGUCAGUGCUGUGCUUACAAAGUAGAGAGGGGAUUACAAGGUGAUGAAACCGCAGAGACUCUAACAGCGAUCCACGUCAAAAGCACUGUUUUAUGAUUCUAAAUGAGAUGCACACAAGCUCUGCAUAUAAUAAGAUUCUCAAAGUCCCAAAAGUCGUGAAGACAUGAGGUGCCAGCAGCAGAAGGUAAAACAAUAUAUUUAUAAAAAAAAAAAAAAAUCUCUUUGGACCAUAGGAAUAACAUUGCCAGCAGCCCUGCUUCUAUUGCUUUUUUAGAAGUUGGCCUCUGUUGAUUUAGACUCACAACAAUAUCAAACCAAAUGUUUUGCAAAAUGUUUAUGUGCUUGCGUCCAUCAGUUGUCCUGACUGAGUAGUGAAGCUGAAUCUCAACAUCAUAGAGCCACUAUUGAGCAGAAUUCAAAUGUGCAGAGGAUGCAAGAAAACCAAAGAAUUUACAGUUCCUGGAAGUUUUUUGUAAAAAAAAAAAAAAAAAAAAAAAAAGUGUGCACCUUCACUGCUCAGGACAAACCAGCAGGGACAGAACUAUCCUGCAUAACUCUCAUGAAUGACUACAGAUAUUAUAAUAUUAUUAUUAUUAUUAUUACUGAACAACUCAAUAAAGUAUAAUAAAAUUUUUAAAUCUAUUUAUGAUGUGGGAGUAGGUGAGAGUAGACACCUCUCACGGUUCAAACAAUUAGGGCUGUGCAACAAACUCAAGCUCCUCUUCUCUUAUAUUGAAAUCCUCCGACAUUUCUAUUUAAAAAUUCUCAUUUUAGACUUCUAAUUUGUGACUGGAGUUUUGUUUUGCUCUAUCCUCUGCGCUGCUGUGUUCGUCAAUACGUCAUGCGUCACGUCAGAGGUUACGCUUCCGCUGUAAGUCGAUUUGUGUACGGAUGUUUGCCAGAAGCUGGUUAUUAUAGUUUAUAAAUUUGUAAAUAUGGAUAUUUUUCUUACAGGCCUUUAUUAACCCCCUGAAGCAGUGUGGAUUAUUUUUAUGAUGGAUGGAUGCACUUUUUUGGGCUUCAAAAUCAUUCACUAUUAGUGCCAUUUACUACCAUUAUAAAGCUUGGAAGAGCCAGGAUAUUUUUUAAUAUAACUCUGACUGUGUUCGUCUGAGAGAAGAUCGUUAUAUACACCUAGGAUGGCUUGAGAGUGAAUAAAUCAUGGGAAUAUUUUUGGGUGAACUAUCCCAUUAAUGUAUUUGGUUUUGGUGGAAUAGAUCUGCUAAGCUGCUGCUGCUGAAUUGCUGCUGCUGUUGAUUAUUGCUGUUUUUGAUUAACUUGCUACUGCCAAUACAUACGUCGAUAUGCUGCUGUGAGUACACAUACUGCUGCUGCACAAAUAGCAUGCAUCAAUUAUAGCAGAUAUACAGGUGGAGCUGGGGAAGGUGGAGGGUUUUAGACAAACUCUGAAAGUGUGGUGCAAACUGCUAUAGUGAAUGAUAAAUGUUGAGCAAGCUCAUUGGCUGCAGAUGCAACAUGAACCAAUCAGCUUGUGCCACGUAACUGUAAAUAUCAUCAGCUUGGGUUAAGGACCCAUCAGCCUGCUCCAUCUAGAGUUUCAUAACAGAACUAGGCAUUCUGUUUGAAUAUAUUGUAUCCCUGUGAUGGCAAAGCUUAAUUUUAGGCAGCCAUUUCUCCAGUCUUAGUUGUCAUAUAAUCCUUCAGAAAUCAUUAGAUUAUAUUCAUAAUACAUCAAGCCUAAAUAUACAAUUAUAGAUGAUCUGAAAGUUUAUAAUAUGAUGGAAAGGCUACUUUUAAAGGGUAAGUAAAAUGCAUUGAAUUAAAAGAAUAAGCAAUUGAAUGCUUUUGUUGACUUUUCCCAGAAGAAACUGAGGAAAUGUGUAGAAAAAGAAUCUCAGCCCAAGAUGCCUCAGCUUACUUGUAAAGCCUUUGUACUUUUAAUUCAUCUUGUUAUGUAAAUGAGAACAGCAUGCAUGUGUUUCCAACACUCAACAUAUGUUUAUCUAUUCAAAUAGCUCUGACUUUGACAUCUGUCGGAAGGGUUGCACAGAGUGGAUGCUUCCCACACAGAUGCUUGCUGCUAAAUUCUUAUUCUGCUUCAGAGGGUUAGACAUACAGAAACAGAUUUUUUUUACAUUUCAUAUAAUAUGGUGGAACUUAUGACUAGAUUUCAAAAGACUGUUAUUUAGUUAGAUUGUAAAGUUGAGGCUGAUAUUUUCCGAAACAUCUGUUUGAACUGCCUUUCUUGCAUGUUAACAAUGAAAAAGUUUAAUAGUCAGAAAGAAAAUUAUGCUCCGCUAUACAGGUGAGGCCUGCCGGAAGAUCCAUCUUAAGAUUGUAGCUGAGAUGGUAUUUUAAGAUUGUAUUUUGAAAUGGUUUUUUAGCUGCUAAUUAGCUGCUCAUUAGUUUAUUCUUCCAGCAUGCAGUGGAGUUAACUUUGUGCAUUUAGCUUUUGUGUAAUGACUUCCUAUGUCAUAUAAGCUGCCAUUUUCAGGACUUUGACAGGUAUACAUGAACUCAGACAAACUGACUGACAGUGCCUCAUUCAGAUUUAAUAAGCUGUCAUUCUAAAAGGUCUAAACUCAAUAUCUCAAUAUUUUUGUACAGUUUAAAGGGAAAUACCUAGCUUUUUUUAAUACUAAGCAUUGCAGUUGAGUACAAAUUGAAUUAAAGAUCCAGUGCAUUAUGGGUAUUGAUCCAGACUCCUGCAAUCAUUAGUUGGGAUAAGGUUUGGAUUUAGUAUAGCUUUAGGCCAAACAUUUGACUUGACUAAUGAAGCAUUUUGUAAUAAGAUUUUAAUGUCUGUAUGUUAGGGCUGCAUGAUUAAAGCACAUAAACAAUAGUUGUUAAUUAUUUCCUUUUGAUUUUUUAAAGGGGACCUAUAAUGCCCUUUUGUAAUAUAAGUCUCUGGUGUCCCCAGAAUGUAUCUGUGAAGUUUCAGCUCAAAAUACCCCACAGACCAU